rnacentral:rRNA from 1 species
UACGUAGGGGGCAGGCGUUGUCCGGAUUUACUGGGCGUAAAGAGCGUGUAGGCGGCCACGCAGGUCUGUUGUGAAAACUGGAGGCUCAACUUCCAGACGUCGACAGAAACCGCGUGGCUAGAGUCCGGAAGAGGAGAGUGGAAUUCCUGGUGUAGCGGUGAAAUGCGCAGAUAUCAGGAAGAACACCGAUGGCGAAGGCAGCUCUCUGGGACGGUACUGACGCUGAGACGCGAAAGCGUGGGGAGCGAACAGG